UUUAAUUUCCAACCAAAAACGAAAAUUUUGGUUUAAACGUCACUCCCAGACGUCACACUCCUAGACGUCACACUCCUAGCGCCCCGGUCCCCACCUUUCUAUCUCUCUAGCUCUGAUUUUCCCUCAACGCUGCAGUAGCCGUCGAUUUCUCGCCGGCGUUUCUCUCCCGUCCGGUCACCAAUGGCCGCCGUUUUUGUCCCAAAAUGUUCCCCUGCUUUUCCUCUACCUAUUCCAUCAAAACUAAGCCAAUCCUACCGCAGUGGAAUACGGUUUCUCGUUCGAAAGAAAUCCCAAAAAUAACCGCCGAUUUCGAGCUAUUUUCGGUGGCGGUUGCCGUCGCCACCUAUCUGGUUUUGAUCCCCGCCCUCGAAGGAAGCUAAUCUACCAAAGAGCCCCCUCAUUGGUCCACUGGUGACGGAGAAUCGAAGCUGGAGAUUUUUCACAGCCACCGAAGCUUUACAGGCGAGAUUUCGGAAAAUCCGGCCACCGUCAACCGUCGACCCAGAUAUUACUCCCCACAGUAGUAAUGUUGUUGUUAAUAGCUAUAAGGAUGCGUGUUGAUACUGAGAUUCACUCGUCGCAGCCGUAUAUCCGGAAAGGGACGUUUGUGGAAGUGGGCAAAGGAAUAUCACCUAACUUUAAACAAGUUUUGGAAUUACUGUUGAAUAAGGAGGAGUUUCUGGCUUUUGCACCAGACACCGAAGAAACAAGGUCAAUGAUUAACAUAAUAUCGGUUAAAUUUCCCCUCUUGAAGAAUGUUUCUAGAGUUUACAAAGAUGAACAGGAGCUGGAAACCUAUAUAGGCUCAGAUCUCUAUGGUACCUGCAAUCAAAUAAUGUAAGUCGUACUUUUGUAUCACAGUAUGGAUCUGAGGGAAAUUCCCUUGAAAUGAAUUUCGAUUAUAGUUGGGACUGGAGAAGUAUGAAAGAC